rnacentral:rRNA from 1 species
CCUACGGGAGGCAGCAGUGAGGAAUAUUGGUCAAUGGGCUUACGCCUGAACCAGCCAAGUCGCGUGAGGGAAGACUGCCCUAUGUGUUUUAAACCUCUUUUGCCAGGGAGCAACUCCCGCUACGUGUAGCCGGACUGAGAGCUCCCUAAGUAACAGCAUCGGCUAACUCCGUUCAAGCAGCCGCGGUAAUACGGAUUAUGCGAGCGUUAUCCGGAUUUAGUGGGUGAAAAGGGUGCGUAUGCGGAAUGCCAAGUCAGCGGUAAAAUUGCGGUGCUAACCUUCGCUCCGCCGGUGAAACUGGCGUUCUUGAGUGGAGGAGAAGGAAGCGGAAGGCGUAGUGUAGCGGUGAAAUGCGUAGAUAUCAGGAAGAACACCGAUUGCGAAGGCAGCAUACCGGAGACCAACUGACGCUGAGGCACGAAAGCGUGGGGAGCGAACAGGAUUAGAUACCCGUGUAGUC